ACACGACUACAUUAGAUACCCCGGUAGUCCCAGCCGUAAACAAUGUGCGUUAGGUGUGUCGGUAACCACGCGUUACUGAUGCGCCGAAGAGAAAUCGUGAAACGCACCACCUGGGAAGUACGGUCGCAAGGCUGAAACUUAAAGGAAUUGGCGGGGAGCACCACAACAGGUGGAGCCUGCGGUUUAAUUGGAUUCAACGCCGGACAUCUCACCGGAUAAGACAGCUGAAUGAUUGUCAAUCUGAAGGUUUUACAUGACUAGCUG
rnacentral:rRNA from 1 species